rnacentral:lncRNA from 1 species
AUGUAUUUUGGAGUUUCAAUGUGGGUAAUAAAGACCCUCAUCACUCAAAUAGUACCUGAGAUGAUAUCAAAUUGUUUCGUUUGUGCCAAGUUUGGUCAUAGUUGAUUGGCAGCAGUGAAUGGAGGAGAAACAUGAGAAGUCAGUUUGGGCUGGCAUAGCAAGUACCAUCUUUUAGCCACAGAUAUUCAUUCUUCACAGUCCAGAGGCUGGAGGUCAAGAUCUAGUUGCUGGCUGACUUAAGUUCUUGUAAGGGAUCAGGUUCUAACUUGCAGCCCACAGCCGUCUUGCUUGGGCUUUCUUUCAUGUACGAACGUGAACAGAAAGCAGGCUCUUCUCAGACGGAUCUUAUGAGCAUCCUAAGCUAGGCAUGGGGCUGACACUGUGACUUCAUUCAAUCCUAAUUGCCUUCCAAAGGUUCCAUGUGCAAACACCAUAACUCUGCAUCACAACCCCACUUCAUGAACUUGGGGGCAACACAAUUCUGCCCAUAGCACCUUAAUAAAACAAAGACACCAGCCUCAGUCAAAGGAGAAUCGUAUUUAUUUUUAAUUCUAGCUAUUUAAUGCAGAGAUAUAUUCCUCAAAGGAAAUCACUGGGUUUUGAGGACAUCUUGAUUACAAAUGUUCAUGGUUAUAGAUCCAAAUCUCCCAUGCCUUUUGUUUAAGAGUACAGAAAAAAGUGGAAUCAGUUUUUAGAUUAUUUUUGUCAUGGUUCUUGAAGUAUUAGUAUGUCUUCUGGUUGCAGUCAGUCAUUUGAAAUAUCUACAUAGGCGGAAUGGUUUGUUUUCAGAAUCUUGAUAAAUCUCAUGUAUGGACAGACAUUUAAUAAAUAUUUUCUAGGGUCAGUUCAACAGGAUGUCAUUUUCAAGGAAUAAUUUUCUUUUCAACUGAAUUAUGCAAGAGCUAACAAUUUAACGUUGAUAUUUCAGCCAUAAAGAACAAUCUACCAGGCUCUUUGCUACCUAGAGCCAAGGUUGAAGAAAAUUCAUUACAGUUCUUUCUUAUCCAAAAUUCGGCAUGUGACCAGGCUUAUUGCCCUUUAAUUUAAAAGGCACUAAAAGGGUUCACAUUUCCAUAGAAGGCAGCACUUCAGUUUGACCACAGUUCUUGCACCUUGGCAAGGACCAGUGAUUUCCCAAUGUGUACCCUUUUAUUCUCAGCUCCUACCCUCCCUAUUAAUAGCCAUUUGCCUGAGGUUGCAAUGGCCAGAUUCUCCUUAUUCCUGCCCGUGUACUUGCCAAGCAGUCAGCAUUCAUCUCCACAAUAAGGUCUAUAUUGCAAAAGGUCCGGGCUGCUUGAAGUCAAUUGGCUCUAAUUCCCUUUAUCAAUCCCAACAGUAGUCAGAGCCCUGCUGAUGGGACCGUAAUAAUUAAAAUUACUUGGCAGAGCCCGCUUCCUCUGGGUACUAUUUGGAAAGGAACAGUGUAGGAGCCAAUAAAGCCCUGAGUGAAUGUGUAUUGUUGAUAUGGGCACAGCCAUAUUCAGGACCCCAAAUGCCUCAUACCCAUGGGAAUGGCAAGGCCUUCUCCAGGACAGGCUCAGGGAAUUUCAAAUGACAAACCUUUCACCUACUUCAAGUGCCAGUGUUGAUAGUGUACACAGAAACUAUCAGCCAUUAGCUCCCUUUUGUUUAUGCUCACUACAUCCAAGGACUGCUCCCCUACAGAGACCUCUUAUACAGAUUGGCUAAACCUGUCCCUAGUUCAAUUGUACACAAUACCUCCACCUCCUUAUUUAGCUGUAUACAAUAAACCCACCACCUUUUGAGGUUAUGAGUUGCUGCAUUUCCAUUAGAAUACACACAGCCCACUCAAUCCCAACUUUCCUGUAUGUGUGCCUUUUCUUCAUUGCCCCUGUUAGGUUUCUAGCACCAGUUCAUGCAGGGUGUGGUCAUGCUGACUUCUUUCUUUCUAAUUCUCUUUCCAUAUAUGCAUCUAUGUCUGAAAAACUCUCCCUUGACUGAUGCAUGCCUCCUUUAGGUAUGUUAAGAAGUCUUGUCUCAGCUGGCUGGCAGUAGUGCCUAAGGUUACAUUAAUGUACCAUGGCAGUUGUGGUUAGAGUUACUGUAUCCUACUUUCAAAAGACGCUUUGGUGUGGUCCUAGUCCCUUCUGUGCUUUUGAACUGCCUCCUAGUACUGAAUCUAAAAUACAGGUCUAAAUUACAGCUACUUCUCCAGCCUGUCUCUAGCCCAAACCUCCAAUUUUGUCCAUCCCAACACUGUGCUAGUAAUUACGAUUUCCCAUCCACCCCUAGACACAUAACAAAGCAUUUACUAGAGCUGGAAUAGUCUUCUCUUUAGAGAGGAAUACCAAUCCCUCCACAAAGCAUCCGUCCAUGGGAUGUUCAUGCCUCCUGGUCCUUGCCUUUAGUUCCUGGUCCUGAAUUCUCUCAGAAAUAAAUUGAGACCAAAAAGUGCAAACAAAGAAACCUUUUUCCUUUCUAAAGCUGUUUUUGGUUACAAUAUUUCAACACAGUAAUAGAAAAGCAGCUAGAACAAAUGGGUAUGUAUUUCCCAUGAUAAACUGUGUUUUGUUACAGGGAUCUUACCUGUGUAUCUGGAAAUGAGGAAGGAUACAUUAGUCUUUUCAAAAUUAGAGGAGAUUGAAUUCCCUUAUAGAUGUUGUACUUGCAUAUAGCCAUUUUCUGAUCUUCCUAUAGUCUCUCAUAUUCUCUCUUAUACUUUAAAUAGACUCCUUUUUAACAUCUCAUAGAAUGUAAAUUCUCUAUAAUUACUUGAUAUACUGCACUGUUUAGGAAAUAUUAAGCAAAGGCUGUUGUUCAUGUUUAAUAUAGAUGCACUUUUUACCCCAAAUAUGUUUGACCCAAUGGUUGGUUGAUAUUGGGACCUACGGGGCAACAGUAUGUGUAGUUCAGGUCCAAAGCCGCAAUAGUUAAGAAUAACAGUCAAAUAAUGAACUACAAGGAGGUACAGAAUGUUAGACAUUACAUGUUUAUGAGUUUCAUCACCAGCAUCCUUAUCGCAGGUUUCCUGGCCUGAGUCAGGAAUGCCUGGCUGGUGUUGGACAUGAAAGGCACUAAAGACUGGUCAAGUGCUCACGUGUUGCCCUUUGUGGCUGUCUUGUUGGUUUUGGCAAAAAACAAAACCACAGCCUAGCUGACUGAGACAGCUGCUAACUCUUGAAUGUACUUCCAGCAACUAAGGUUUCAACAGGCCCUUCUGUGUGUCUAGAAGUGGAUACCCCAGUGGAGUUCACCUCUGAAUAAGCAAUGCCAAUUUGUCUCAGUGUUGGUGUGGUUUAACUAUUGUUUAUAUGUAAAUAGUUCUCCAGUUUUAACCUAAAUAGUUGCUGCCAAUAAGAAUGCCCUG